rnacentral:lncRNA from 1 species
AUGGCGGAAGAGAAGUCUGGCUCCAGAAAGAGACUGCACAAACCUCUGGCAAGCUCUGACGAGGAAUACCGAGAACACUAUACUCAAAAGCACCCUCACCAAAAUGGGAGGAAGGUGGAGAAAGAACAUGCUGAAGGCUCUGAGAAAAAUAGUAAAUUGCAUUCAAAAAGCCAAGAACAAACAUCUGCUUCAACCCACAAACAGGAUGUCCCCGAAUCAGAGGAACUCAGUGACACUCCAAAGAGAUCAAGCUCUCACAAAAAAAGAGUGAGGUCUGAGGAGGAGGAGGAAGCAGAAGACAGCAACCACUCAGAUAAUGAAUCUAAGGGAGAAUCCAAUAAACGUCAGUUGCGAAACAGCAACAAACCCAAAAGACAGAGUCACAAUGACUCUGUUUCAGAGAGCGAGGAGGAAGUUGUACCCAACAGGAGAGCAAGGAGAAAACAACUGCGUGCUUCCUCAGAGGAAGAAUCUGAUGGGAAGGAGAAGCAUAGCCCUAGCAGGCGGCCUUGCCUUCGAGCCCAACCAAAAAAGAAAUACAUCAAUGAAGACUCUGAGGAGGACUUGAACUCAGAGAUGCAAGGCAGUUGUAAGAAUGGGAAUAGCAAUGCUGUUUCAGAUAAAGGGCAUCAACGCAACCGAAAAGCUUCCCCAGCUACUACAAAACAGUCUUCUUCCAAGAGAAAAUGCAUUUACACCUCAGACUCCUCAGACAACCCUUAUGAAAAGAAACGGUGCAUUCCCAUGGCUAAGAGCUAUUGCGAAGAUGAGGGCGAGAGGGAAACAAAAAGAUCCAACUACAAGUAUCCCAAGAAGGAAUCUAGAUCCAAGUCUGAACCUGAGGACUGUAGUAGUCAGGAAGACACCUCUUCCCACCAAGGGUCAGAGGAGGAGGAGGUUGAGUGUCCAAGGGGGAAGAGACAUUUGGAGCAACACAAAGGCAAGCGAAAGGAACGCUGCAGCAGCAGUGCCCACAGUUCUGCCUCUGAAAGCGAGGAGGACGAAGAGUCCUCUGCCAGCUCAGGGACCCAGAGCAGUCCAAAGAGAAAAAAACACAACAGGAGGUCAAGGGUCAGCGACAAGGGUGCCGCCCGACAACACCGGAGGGACCCCUCUGAGGCAGACAGUGACCAGUCGUAUGCAGAAUUCCAGAGAGGGGAGAGUGGAACGUGUAUCAAGACCCGAAACCGUGGCAAACGAACGGUGACAUAUCACGACAGCGAAUGA